GAUUAAGCCAUGCGAGUCAACGUAGCAAUACGUGGCACACGGCUCAGUAACACGUAGUCAACAUAACCAAAGGACGUGGAUAAACUCGGGAAACUGAGGCUAAACCGCGAUAGAUCAAGAUACCUGGAAUGGUUUUUGAUCAAAAUCUAUAUGGCCUUUGGAUUGGACUGCGUCCGAUCAGGCUGUUGGUGAGGUAAUGGCCCACCAAACCUGUAACCGGUACGGGCUCUGAGAGGAGGAGCCCGGAGAUGGGUACUGAGAAAAGGACCCAGGCCCUAUGGGGCGCAGCAGGCGCGAAACCUCUGCAAUAGGCGAAAGC
rnacentral:rRNA from 1 species